rnacentral:ncRNA from 1 species
UAGGCAGAUGCUAAAAUCUGUGAUUAUCAGUCCGGUCACGAAAAGACAAUCACCGCCCUGUUACCUGCGUUGGCAGGGGUCAACGUGAUAUACGGGUU